rnacentral:misc_RNA from 1 species
GAUGAAGAACGUAGCGAAAUGCGAUAAGUAAUGUGAAUUGCAGAAUUCAGUGAAUCAUCGAAUCUUUGAACGCACAUUGCGCCCCCUGGUAUUCCGGGGGGCAUGCCUGUUCGAGCGUCAUUUCACCACUCAAGCCUCGCUUGGUAUUGGGCAACGCGGUCCGCCGCGUGCCUCAAAUCGUCCGGCUGGGUCUUCUGUCCCCUAAGCGUUGUGGAAACUAUUCGCUAAAGGGUGUUCGGGAGGCUACGCCGUAAAACAACCCCAUUUCUAAGGUUGACCUCGGAUCAGGUAGGGAUACCCGCUGAACUUAAGCAUAUCAAUAAGCGGGGA